GAUGAAGAACGUAGCGAAAUGCGAUAACUAAUGUGAAUUGCAGAAUUCCGUGAAUCAUCGAGUCUUUGAACGCACAUUGCGCCCCCUGGUAUUCCGGGGGGCAUGCCUGUCCGAGCGUCAUUGCUGCCCAUCAAGCACGGCUUGUGUGUUGGGUCCUCGUCCCCCCCGGGGGACGUGCCCGAAAGGCAGCGGCGGCACCGCGUCCGGUCCUCGAGCGUAUGGGGCUUUGUCACCCGCUCUGCAGGCCCGGCCGGCGCUGGCCGACGCGAAAGCAACCAUUUUUUCACCAGGUUGACCUCGGAUCAGGUAGGGAUACCCGCUGAACUUAAGCAUAUCAAUAAGCGGAGGA
rnacentral:misc_RNA from 1 species